GUGAGGAAUAUUGGUCAAUGGGCGGGAGCCUGAACCAGCCAAGUCGCGUGAAGGAAGAAGGAUCUAUGGUUCGUAAACUUCUUUUGUAGGGGAAUAAAGUGCAGGACGUGUCCUGUUUUGUAUGUACCCUGAGAAUAAGGAUCGGCUAACUCCGUGCCAGCAGCCGCGGUAAUACGGAGGAUCCGAGCGUUAUCCGGAUUUAUUGGGUUUAAAGGGUGCGUAGGUGGUUUGAUAAGUCAGCGGUGAAAGUUUGCAGCUUAACUGUAAAAAUGCCGUUGAAACUGUCGGACUUGAGUGUAAAUGAGGUAGGCGGAAUGCGUGGUGUAGCGGUGAAAUGCAUAGAUAUCACGCAGAACUCCGAUUGCGAAGGCAGCUUACUAAGCUACAACUGACACUGAAGCACGAAAGCGUGGGGAUCAAACAGGAUUAGAAACCCCUGUAGUCC
rnacentral:rRNA from 1 species